AUUGAACGCUGGCGGAAUGCUUUACACAUGCAAGUCGAACGGCAGCACGGGGCAACCUGGUGGCGAGUGGCGAACGGGUGAGUAAUACAUCGGAACGUGCCCAAUCGUGGGGGAUAACGUAGCGAAAGUUACGCUAAUACCGCAUACGAUCUACGGAUGAAAGCGGGGGGAUCGCAAGACCUCGCGCGAAUGGAGCGGCCGAUGUCAGAUUAGGUAGUUGGUGGGGUAAAGGCUCACCAAGCCAACGAUCUGUAGCUGGUCUGAGAGGAUGACCAGCCACACUGGAACUGAGACACGGUCCAGACUCCUACGGGAGGCAGCAGUGGGGAAUUUUGGACAAUGGGCGCAAGCCUGAUCCAGCCAUUCCGCGUGCAGGAUGAAGGCCUUCGGGUUGUAAACUGCUUUUGUACGGUAACGAAACGGUCUGCCCUAAUACGGUGGGCUAAUGACGGUACCGUAAGAAUAAGACACCGGCUAACUACGUGCCAGCAGCCGCGGUAAGCUCG
rnacentral:rRNA from 1 species